rnacentral:piRNA from 1 species
GAGGCAUUUAACGUGAGCCACGUGUUGAGC